CGGAGGUGACGGAAUGACGCAUUCCCGUCAUCCGCGGUGAGGGGCGUCUCCGUUGGUUGAGAGCCUUAGGCAGGGGUGAGGAGAAGGAGCUCGCGCGGGUGGGUAUGAAAAGGGGCGGUGACAUUCUGAAACAGCAGGGUUUGCCGUGGCCGCCUGAUGUCGUAAGCACGUCGAGGUGUACGUGAGUAAUAGAAAUGACGUUACCCACGCGCUUUCCCUCCCUCCCAUGGGCCCCAUCACGUGGAAAGAGGGUAGAACAUUCCAGCAAAAUGGGAAAAAAGAAUCACACUUCACAACUAAUUGAUGUAGGAGAGACCCUAUGAAAGCUAGUGCUUCCAAAUAAACCUGUUGGACCAUAACCUGGUGUUGUGUGGUUUGUAACUUUAUCCACCCCAGUCUAACAUUGGCUCCUCCACAUCAUGGAUUCCAGCAAACAGCAAUGUUGAUGCUGGCCUGUUAGCAUCUCUAGGUAGACGAACAGCAGCAGCAUCUCGAAGGGCGGGAGCUUGGAGCAGGGGCCUAUCGGGAGUGGUGAGUCACUGAUUGGAGUCUUUAAAAACUUACCUCGAGCACAGGAGUCCUCCAUUUCUGAUUUUCAACAGCAGCAGUAGCUCGAUGGGCAGAAGCUUGGACCAGGGGUCUGUUGGGAAUGGUGAGUCAUUGAUCUGAGUCUUUAAAAACUUGCAGGAGUCCUCUAUUUCUGUUUUUCAGCAGCAGCACCUCAAUGGAUGUGAGGUUGGACCUAGGGUCUAUCUGGAGCAGUGAGUCACUGACUUGAGUCUUUAAAAACUUACCUCGAACACGGGAGUCCUCCAUUUCUGUUUUUCAGCAGAGCAGCAGCAGCUGGAUGGGCGGGAGCUUGGACCAGGGGCCUGUUGGGAGAGGAAAUGGCCAAUGCUAUUGAAGGCAGAAUUUAUUGCAUUUAAGACAACUAAAUUGCUUGAUCAGCCAUUUUGAAGAUGUUGAGGAGUCAAACAUGUUGCUUUGGAAUUGGAGUCGCACACAGACUAGA